rnacentral:misc_RNA from 1 species
AGCAGCCGCGGUAAUUCCAGCUCCAAUAGCGUAUAUUAAAGUUGCUGCAGUUAAAAAGCUCGUAGUUGAAUUUCGGGAUCAAUAUGUUGGUCGUGCCUCGGUACGUACUAGCUUAUUGGUUUCUUCCUUCUGACGAACCAUAAUGUCAUUUAUUUGGUGUUAUGGGGAAUCAGGACUGUUACUUUGAAAAAAUUAGAGUGUUUAAAGCAGGCUCACGCUUGAAUACAUUAGCAUGGAAUAAUGAAAUAGGACGUUUGAUUCUAUUUUGUUGGUUUCUAGGAUCGACGUAAUGAUUAAUAGGGAUAGUUGGGGGCAUUAGUAUUCAAUUGUCAGAGGUGAAAUUCUUGGAUUUAUUGAAGACUAACUACUGCGAAAGCAUUUGCCAAGGAUGUUUUCAUUAAUCAAGAACGAAAGUUAGGGGAUCGAAGACGAUCAGAUACCGUCGUAGUCUUAACCAUAAACUAUGCCGACUAGGGAUCGGAUGAUGUUAAUUUUUUAAUGACUCAUUCGG